UGUGGAUGGUAUACGCCGGUACAACAAUAUAUAACAAUAAUAAUAUUACAUUUCAACGCUGAUGGAGCGAGCAAGAUAUCCCAACAGAAAAUGGAAAAAAAAGUCGGGUGGUGUUGGUAAUUGGUGACUAGUGAUCGCUAGAAUAUGUCCAGACCAACAACUGAACCGUUAUGCAAACGAAAAGAUUAUGCAUAAAAAACAUACAAUUAUAAUGUUACGUAACCUGCACUUAUAUCAAACCUGUGUCUAACUAAUAAUUACUACGACGUAUCUGCAGUAAUUUUUUUUUAUCAAAUUAUCUAUUGUUUGUAAAGAAUUAUUAUCAAUAAUAUUAUAUUAUUCUUAUAUAAGUAUGAUUGGUGUCGGUGUGUUGGAAAUAAAUUUUGACAUCCGGCAUCUAGAAUACAAGGACAACUCGGGGAUAUUAAUAUAAUAUAUAAUAAAUACAA